GCGAGUGAGCGGCAAGAGCUCAAAUUUGAAGCUGGCUCCUUCGGGGUCCGCAUUGUAAUUUGCAGAGGAUGCUUCGGGUGCAGCCCCCGUCUAAGUGCCCUGGAACGGGCCGUCAUAGAGGGUGAGAAUCCCGUAUGGGGCGGGGUGUCUGCGUCCGUGUGAAGCUCCUUCGACGAGUCGAGUUGUUUGGGAAUGCAGCUCUAAAUGGGUGGUAAAUUUCAUCUAAAGCUAAAUACUGGCCGGAGACCGAUAGCGCACAAGUAGAGUGAUCGAAAGAUGAAAAGCACUUUGAAAAGAGAGUUAAACAGCACGUGAAAUUGUUGAAAGGGAAGCGCUUGCAACCAGACUCGCUCGCGGGGUUCAGCCGGGCUUCGGCCCGGUGUACUUCCCCGCGGGCGGGCCAGCGUCGGUUUGGGCGGCCGGUCAAAGGCCUCCGGAAUGUAGCGCCCUUCGGGGCGCCUUAUAGCCGGGGGUGCAAUGCGGCCAGCCUGGACCGAGGAACGCGCUUCGGCACGGACGCUGGCAUAAUGGUUGUAAACGACCCGUCUUGA
rnacentral:rRNA from 1 species